rnacentral:rRNA from 1 species
AUUGAACGCUGGCGGCGUGCUUAACACAUGCAAGUCGAUCGGUAACAGGUGUAGCAAUACAUGCUGACGAGAGGCGGACGGGUGAGUAAUGCUUGGGAAUCUGCCUAUUAGUGGGGGACGAACCCGGGAAACGUCGGGCUAAUACCGCAUACGCUCUACGGAGGAAAGCCGGGGACCGCAAGGCCUGGCGCUAAUAGAUGAGCCCAAGUCGGAUUAGCUAGUUGGUAGGGUAACGGCCUACCAAGGCGACAAUCCGUAGCUGGUCUGAGAGGACGACCAGCCACACCGGAACUGAGACACGGUCCGGACUCCUACGGGAGGCAGCAGUGGGGAAGUAUUGGACAAUGGGGGCGAACCCUGAUCCAGCGACGCCGCGUGGGUGAAGAAGGCCUGCGGGUUGUAAAGCCCUUUCGGUGGGGAAGAAAAGUCUCGACCUAAUACGUCGGGACCUUGACGUAACCCACUAAAGAAGCACCGGCUAACUCUGUGCCAGCAGCCGCUGU